CCCUUAGAUGUUCUGGGCUGCACGCGCGCGACAAUGACGUUUGCAACGAGAUUGCGAGGCCGUCAGGUCGAGCUGAUCUUGCAAGCUGCGUCGUGAUAGGGACAGUCGAUUGCAAUUAUUCGACUCGAACGAGGAAUUCCUUGUAAUCGCGCAUCAUCAGUGCGCGCUGAAUACGUCCCUGCCCUUUGUACACACCGCCCGUCGCUACUACCGAUUGAAUGGUUUAGUGAGGCCUUCGGAUCCGCGACUCGUUUUGUGGAGAAGUUGGACAAACUCAGUCAUUUAGAGGAAGUAAAAGUCGUAACA
rnacentral:rRNA from 1 species